CAGGCUUAACACAUGCAAGUCGAGGGGCAGCAUGGUCUUAGCUUGCUAAGGCCGAUGGCGACCGGCGCACGGGUGAGUAACACGUAUCCAACCUGCCGUCUACUCUUGGACAGCCUUCUGAAAGGAAGAUUAAUACAAGAUGGCAUCAUGAGUCCGCAUGUUCACAUGAUUAAAGGUAUUCCGGUAGACGAUGGGGAUGCGUUCCAUUAGAUAGUAGGCGGGGUAACGGCCCACCUAGUCUUCGAUGGAUAGGGGUUCUGAGAGGAAGGUCCCCCACAUUGGAACUGAGACACGGUCCAAACUCCUACGGGAGGCAGCAGUGAGGAAUAUUGGUCAAUGGGCGAGAGCCUGAACCAGCCAAGUAGCGUGAAGGAUGACUGCCCUAUGGGUUGUAAACUUCUUUUAUAAAGGAAUAAAGUCGGGUAUGCAUACCCGUUUGCAUGUACUUUAUGAAUAAGGAUCGGCUAACUCCGUGCCAGCAGCCGCGGUAAUACGGAGGAUCCGAGCGUUAUCCGGAUUUAUUGGGUUUAAAGGGAGCGUAGAUGGAUGUUUAAGUCAGUUGUGAAAGUUUGCGGCUCAACCGUAAAAUUGCAGUUGAUACUGGAUAUCUUGAGUGCAGUUGAGGCAGGCGGAAUUCGUGGUGUAGCGGUGAAAUGCUUAGAUAUCACGAAGAACUCCGAUUGCGAAGGCAGCCUGCUAAGCUGCAACUGACAUUGAGGCUCGAAAGUGUGGGUAUCAAACAGGAUUAGAUACCCUGGUAGUCCACACGGUAAACGAUGAAUACUCGCUGUUUGCGAUAUACGGCAAGCGGCCAAGCGAAAGCGUUAAGUAUUCCACCUGGGGAGUACGCCGGCAACGGUGAAACUCAAAGGAAUUGACGGGGGCCCGCACAAGCGGAGGAACAUGUGGUUUAAUUCGAUGAUACGCGAGGAACCUUACCCGGGCUUAAAUUGCAGAUGAAUUACGGUGAAAGCCGUAAGCCGCAAGGCAUCUGUGAAGGUGCUGCAUGGUUGUCGUCAGCUCGUGCCGUGAGGUGUCGGCUUAAGUGCCAUAACGAGCGCAACCCUUGUUGUCAGUUACUAACAGGUUCCGCUGAGGACUCUGACAAGACUGCCAUCGUAAGAUGUGAGGAAGGUGGGGAUGACGUCAAAUCAGCACGGCCCUUACGUCCGGGGCUACACACGUGUUACAAUGGGGGGUACAGAGGGCCGCUACCACGCGAGUGGAUGCCGAUCCCCAAAACCUCUCUCAGUUCGGACUGGAGUCUGCAACCCGACUCCACGAAGCUGGAUUCGCUAGUAAUCGCGCAUCAGCCACGGCGCGGUGAAUACGUUCCCGGGCCUUGUACACACCGCCCGUCAAGCCAUGGGAGCCGGGGGUACCUGAAGUGCGUAACCGCGAGGAGCGCCCUAGGGUAAAACUGGUGACUGGGGCUAAGUC
rnacentral:rRNA from 1 species